UCACGCUAUCAGAUGAGCCUAGGUCGGAUUAGCUAGUUGGUGGGGUAAAGGCCUACCAAGGCGACGAUCCGUAACUGGUCUGAGAGGAUGAUCAGUCACACUGGAACUGAGACACGGUCCAGACUCCUACGGGAGGCAGCAGUGGGGAAUAUUGGACAAUGGGCGAAAGCCUGAUCCAGCCAUGCCGCGUGUGUGAAGAAGGUCUUCGGAUUGUAAAGCACUUUAAGUUGGGAGGAAGGGCAGUAAGUUAAUACCUUGCUGUUUUGACGUUACCAACAGAAUAAGCACCGGCUAACUUCGUGCCAGCAGCCGCGGUAAUACGAAGGGUGCAAGCGUUAAUCGGAAUUACUGGGCGUAAAGCGCGCGUAGGUGGUUCAGCAAGUUGGAUGUGAAAUCCCCGGGCUCAACCUGGGAACUGCAUCCAAAACUACUGAGCUAGAGUACGGUAGAGGGUGGUGGAAUUUCCUGUGUAGCGGUGAAAUGCGUAGAU
rnacentral:rRNA from 1 species